rnacentral:rRNA from 1 species
UAUGACUCUCGGCAACGGAUAUCUCGGCUCUCGCAUCGAUGAAGAACGUAGCGAAAUGCGAUACGUGGUGUGAAUUGCAGAAUCCCGUGAACCAUCGAGUCUUUGAACGCAAGUUGCGCCCGAGGGAUCCUCCCGAGGGCGCGCCUGCCUCAUGGGCGUUAGAA